AGGAAAAGUCCCUUUUUCCUAAAAUUAUAUAAACAAUCCAGCGAAGAUUAACAAAUAGAUAAACGGAAAGUAAGUUUUAGGCUUUAUCCUUUGUUCUUGUUUAACAAAAUCGAUUUAAAUUGUUACUUUUUUUACCACUAAGCCAUGAUAAAUUAUUGUUAAUAUUUUUUUUUUUUUGGAUGCUCAGAAUGCAAAAAAUAGCAUUUCACGGUUUCAAAUUUCAAAAAUUUUCUUGGGAUUAUCCCUCUAAUAAGUAAUGAUAAAUUACAGUUAAUAUUCUUUUUUACUUUUUGUGCAUUUUCCCAUCUUUUAUUUCAAAUACAAGUAUACUUAGCAUAAAUUUUAGAGCAAAUUUGGAUCCUCAGAAUGCAGGAAAUGGCAUUUCCGUGGUUCAAAUUUCAAAAAUUUUCUGGGGGAGUACACCCCCACACACAUGACCAUUGCUAUCCUCUAAUAAGUAAUGAUAAAUGAUGGUUAAUUUUUUUUACUUUUUGUGUGUUUCUUCCUUUAUUUAUUUCAAAUACAAGUAUAGUUAGGAUAAAUUUUGGAGCAAAUUUGGAUGCUCAGAAUGCAGGAAAUGACAUUUACGGGAGUCAAAUUUCAAACAUUUUCUGGGGGAGUACAACCCAGACCCCCCAUCUAUGCGUGGUAUAUUUUCCACACAUGUGGCUUUCAGCCAUUGCUACCCCCCUCUAAUAUAUUAUCUCACAGAAAGGUCCCUUUUCAAAAAAUGCCCCCCCACAGGAAAAUCCUUAAAAAAGGCCCUGUGUCUCGGCAGGGUACUGAAAUAGAACGUCACUAAAAAAUUCUGUAUGAUUAAUUUAGAUCAUGUCUACUCUUUCAACAUAAAACAGUCAUUUAUUUUGUACAAACAUUUGGCCAUAUUUACACGAUUGUGCCUUUUUGUAAACACGCGUUGCGUGUAUUCCACGCAACUGCGUCGCUCAUUUUACUCGCGCAUGCUCAGACAAAUUUCCCACCUGUUCCUCAUUACUGUACUUGAGUUCUAUUUUUGAGAAGUCGGCAUGUGACAAAGUAAACUUUCUUUGGAGUACUUUUACUUGGAACGAAGUCGUUUAAAGAAGUAACGUUUUACUUCGUUAUUUUCAUUAUCUUGCGAAGUAUUUUGUUACUUUCUAACUUUUGUUUAAUUUUACGUGAUGUAUUCAGGAUUUAUUUUAAUUUUGGGAUAGGUAAUAGGACCUCUACAUGCGUCUGGAUGGAUUUCUUGUAUCUUCAACGGGAUCUAGAGAGUAGACCAUGCCAUGAAAUAUUGUAUAUUAGGUGCACGCAUAUAAUGCGUGUGUUGUUUUGUAUGUCAAUCCAAUGGAGAAGUCCCCCCCCCCCCUUACAAGCCAAAGACAAUAGUAUUUUUACUUUUACUUCAAGUAUUUUUUAA